AGUGAACGCUGGCGGCAGGCCUAAUACAUGCAAGUCGAACGGCAGCACAGCAGGGCUUGCUCUGUGGGUGGCGAGUGGCGGACGGGUGAGGAAUACGUGGGAAUCUGCCCAGUCGUGGGGGAUAACGUAGGGAAACUUACGCUAAUACCGCAUGCGCCCUUUGGGGGAAAGCCGGGGAUCUUCGGACCUGGCGCGAUUGGAUGAGCCCACGUCGGAUUAGCUAGUUGGAGGGGUAAAGGCCCACCAAGGCGACGAUCCGUAGCUGGUCUGAGAGGAUGAUCAGCCACACUGGAACUGGGACACGGUCCAGACUCCUACGGGAGGCAGCAGUAGGGAAUAUUGGACAAUGGGCGCAAGCCUGAUCCAGCCAUGCCGCGUGAGUGAAGAAGGCCCUCGGGUUGUAAAGCUCUUUUGUUGGGGAAGAAAAGCCUUGGGUUAAUACCCUGAGGUUCUGACGGUACCUAAAGAAUAAGCACCGGCUAACUUCGUGCCAGCAGCCGCCGUA
rnacentral:rRNA from 1 species